rnacentral:rRNA from 1 species
GAUCCUGGCUUAGGACGAACGCUGGCGGCGUGCCUAAUACAUGCAAGUCGAACGGUCUUUCUAUGGAAGCUUGCUUCCACUGAGAAGAUAGUGGCGAACGGGUGAGUAACACGUGGGUAACCUGCCCAUAAGAGGGGGGAUAACAUCCGGAAACGGGUGCUAAUACCGCAUAGUUUUCUUGAUCGCAUGAUCGGGAAAGGAAAGACGGCCUUUGUGCUGUCGCUUAUGGAUGGACCCGCGGCGUAUUAGUUAGUUGGUGAGGUAACGGCUCACCAAGACGAUGAUACGUAGCCGACCUGAGAGGGUGAUCGGCCACAUUGGGACUGAGACACGGCCCAAACUCCUACGGGAGGCAGCAGUAGGGAAUCUUCCGCAAUGGACGAAAGUCUGACGGAGCAACGCCGCGUGAGUGAAAGAAGGUUUUCGGAUCGUAAAACUCUGUUGUCAGAGAAGAACAAGUUGGAGAGUAACUGCUCCAGCCUUGACGGUAUCUGACCAGAAAGCCACGGCUAACUACGUGCCAGCCGCGGC